UGCCAGCCGCCGCGGUAAUACGGAGGAUUCAAGCGUUAUCCGGAAUUAUUGGGUUUAAAGGGUGCGUAGGCGGUUUGAUAAGUCAGCGGUGAAAAGCCAGUGCUUAACAUUGGUCUUGCCGUUGAUACUGUUGGACUAGAGAAUAGUUGCGGUAGGCGGAAUGUAUGGUGUAGCGGUGAAAUGCUUAGAGAUCAUACAGAACACCGAUUGCGAAGGCAGCUUACCAAGCUAUAUCUGACGCUGAGGCACGAAAGCGUGGGGAGCAAACAGGAUUAGAUA
rnacentral:rRNA from 1 species